rnacentral:rRNA from 1 species
UGGACGAAAGUCUGAUGGAGCAACGCCGCGUGAGCGAAGAAGGCCUUCGGGUCGUAAAGCUCUGUUGUUAGGGAAGAACAAGUAUCGGAGUAACUGCCGGUACCUUGACGGUACCUAACCAGAAAGCCACGGCUAACUACGUGCCAGCAGCCGCGGUAAUACGUAGGUGGCAAGCGUUGUCCGGAAUUAUUGGGCGUAAAGCGCGCGCAGGCGGUCCUUUAAGUCUGAUGUGAAAGCCCACGGCUCAACCGUGGAGGGUCAUUGGAAACUGGGGGACUUGAGUGCAGAAGAGGAAAGCGGAAUUCCACGUGUAGCGGUGAAAUGCGUAGAGAUGUGGAGGAACACCAGUGGCGAAGGCGGCUUUCUGGUCUGUAACUGACGCUGAGGCGCGAAAGCGUGGGGAGCAAACAGGAUUAGAUACCCUGGUAGUCCACGCCGUAAACGAUGAGUGCUAAGUGUUAGGGGGUUUCCGCCCCUUAGUGCUACAGCUAACGCAUUAAGCACUCCGCCUGGGGAGUACGG